AGUCAUUGCUUCUAAAAACCUUGAAAAACAUUGUCUCACUAAACAUGAAACCAGGAGUGGGUGAGUGUGUCGUCUCUUUUUAGUACAAGUACGUUAACCCCCCCAGCUCCCACCCAUCCUGCACUAUUGCACCGAUGUGACGUUCAGCCUGGCUCUAUUUCAGAAUUCUCUGCUGACCUGUCCUCCUCCAGAGCUGGCAGCCCAACGCGGGCGCCUCGGGACGCUCUGUGCUCCCACCGAACGGCCCGGGAAGCGGACGCAGCGUUGGUGUGAUGCUUCCAAAAGGACAAAAAGCAAAUGUCGCGAGCGCAUGCUCUGCUUCACAGAUGCAGGGCACCUAGGCGUGCAUGAAAGUCAGCGCUCUGCUUCGGAUGCACGUUUCCAGUCCUGGGGAAACCUUCUUGUGCUUUUGUUUUCUAGAAGUAGAAAUGUUUGAGCUUAAACCGGCACGUCAGAAGACUCUUGAAGGAAACAGGUCUGCCUCCCCAAAGACGCUUAGCACAAAAGUUGUAGACCCUGUGCUCACUGUAGAAGACGUUGACCCUUACAGCAUCCCAUCGAGCUCCUUAGAAAGGCGGCAAAACUUUUAGGACCGCGAUGCUUCAGAGGCUGCUACAGUCCUGCUCCUUGCUUGGCACAGCAGAGAAGGAACAUCAAUGACAAAUCUGAUCUUUUUUGAAGAUUGAAUUUACUGAAGAAGCUUCCUUUGGAGUUCCGCAGAUGAUUGGUGUGAGCUACCCAUCACAUCGGAUAUGUAGGAAUGUCAAUUAGGACACCCUGUGUUCAAGCACAGAAAGAGAUCUUGUAUGCAACUGGAGGAUGGCAACAGGCCUUCAACGUGGGCCUUCAUGCUGUUGCAAAAGCCAUCGAUGUAGAUGAGACAGGAGCGAUUCGUUUGCUCAGGAGCUGAAAGCUCCUUGUACCAAAGUGUGCUCCACCUCAAGAAGUUUGCCAGGAGCUGAAAUGUUUUACACAUUCCACCUAAUAUGCCCCAGAGAGGGGGCUGCCUGGGCAUGCUGUCUCGGGGUGCUGCGAAGGAAAGAUGUUUUCUGUUCUGGAGACAUGGGGAUGCCACGCUGAUUGUACCUGGAUGAUCAUAUGAACAGAGAAAAAGUCCCCUAAUCCCCUGGAAGAAGGCAAUGAACAGAACUUUGAAACCUGAAUGCAUGCUUUUUCUUCUCUGCUAAGUAUGUAGACUAGCAGUUACCAAUUCUUAUCCAGCUUAAGUCUAUGCUAUGAAGGACAGAAUAUAGAAAAGAAGAAAAAAGUCUUUGUGUUAUGCAGAGCACCAGUCUAAUCCUUGGCACGAGCCAGAGCAGAAAUUGUUCCAAUUUAUGCUGGUUGUCUUCUAUUCAUAGGUGCAUUGGGCAAUGAAGGAAUAUCUGGUGGAAAUUACUUUGGAUGUCUCCCACGCAUGAACUGGAAUUCGGUAUAGGAACUGUUAUGGUUUGUUGCUCCAGAGGAAUCCUUCACCGGUAGUUUUAGGGCUGGUUUAUAAGUGAAUGAGAGUGAAGUAGAUUUCAAAUAUUGAGCAAUAAAUCCUCCUCUUCCCCCAAACCUGGUCCCCUUCAAUAUUCUUUAAUCAAGUUUUGAUGUUUUUGCAAUUUUGAUUGUAGAAUUUUAACUCUGAGUAGACAAGUUACAUGUACAGUCACUCCUAAAUAGUAUCAGUAUCAAUGCUGGUAGCUGACGUCACUACACUAAAAUGCUUUCCUAUCUGCAAAAAAAAUUGUUCUUGCCCACAUUUCCUGAGGAACUGAAGGACUUAAAAGAGUGAAAUUUCUUCAUACCAUUGCAGGUAUUGUAUUACCAUAAUAGAUACGAUUUAAGAUGCAUCUUUUUUACACCUUAAUGUGGAUUUCUACCAUUUCAAACUUUAUUUUUCUUGACGUGAUUGGACUUCUAUCCAUUGACAAAUGGGUAGGAUUGUUUCUGUUAGCAAACUGGAAGAUCAGGCUAAUGUACGUCUUAGAAUUUAAAUAGAAAAUUUAAUUUACUGUAUGCUUGCAUUCUGAAUACCUAGCUAUUUUUUAUGGAGCUUGUACUUGCAUCAAAAAUGCUAGAUCCUGAGAAACAAAACAACACAAAAAGAGAAUAUUUAAGUAGGUAACACCC